AAACGUCUGCGGGGAAGUCCUGUGAGAAUCAGGCGCGGUCCCGCCACUGUGAGGGCGCACGAGGUGCACCCGAAGCCAGAAUGCCGCAACGUUU
rnacentral:ncRNA from 2 species